rnacentral:rRNA from 1 species
ACAGCAGUCGCCGCGGGAAUACAGAGGGUGCGAGCGUUAAUCGGAUUUACUGGGCGUAAAGCGUGCGUAGGCGGCUUCUUAAGUCGGAUGUGAAAUCCCUGAGCUUAACUUAGGAAUUGCAUUCGAUACUGGGAAGCUAGAGUAUGGGAGAGGAUGGUAGAAUUCCAGGUGUAGCGGUGAAAUGCGUAGAGAUCUGGAGGAAUACCGAUGGCGAAGGCAGCCAUCUGGCCUAAUACUGACGCUGAGGUACGAAAGCAUGGGGAGCAAACAGGAUUAGAGACCCGUGUAGUCCCUGUCUCUUAUAA